CGGACGUUGGGAAAAGGCUUUUCACUGAGAGGGCGGUCGGUCAGUCACGGAACAGGCUCCCCAGGGAAGCGGUCGCAGCCACCGAGCCUGUCAGGAGUUCAAGGAGCGUCUGAACGAUGCUCUUAGUCGCACGGUUUAGUUUUAGGUAGUCCCGCGUGGAGCGGGGGCUUGGUCUCGGUGAUCCGUAUGGGUCCCUUCCAACUUGAGAUACUCUAUGAUUCUGUGAAAUCUUCUGGAUACGAGAAAAGCUCUGUCCAGAGAUGCGGAGACGGAAUCAGCUGUACCUCUGCCUCAUCCCGUGAGACCGGAAGACAUUGAGUAACUGUAAGCUGUGAUUCUCAGGCAAAUUACUGAGAGAGCUUUUUCUUUUUAAAAAGCGUGUGACCGAAUAAAGGCUCGCCGUCUCUUUCGCCCUCCCGGGUGCGUUGGCGCUUCCUUUGCGGGGGGCGAGGCGCCGUGAUGGAGGGCAGGGGAGGAGGUGUGGGGGGGUCAGGCCAUGGCCCCCUGUUCCUGCUGGGCUCCAGCUGGGGGUUGGGGCUGGAGGAGCCCCAGGUGCGGGCAGUGAGGCGGGUAGCCACGGCCCCUCCCCGGAACCGGCUGCCGGCGUGCAGGGGCUGCUGUGAGCCGAGGGAGGAGCGGAGGCGUCGCCGGGCUGCGGCUGCACGGAGGGAGAAGGCCGCGCUGAGGACGUGGUUGCCCGUCCCUCCCUUGGGGAUGCCGUCGACUGCACCCGCCUCGCCUGUGCCUGGCCUGGCUCGCCUCGUGGCGUGGGGGCGAAAAGGGACAGGCGGCGGAGCGCUUACCGGCCGUGGACAGGAGCUGCCCUAAGGGAAGCUGGAAUGGCCAGAGAAAGGUGAAGAAGAAGAAGAAGAGAUGGAAGGCUCUCCGGCCGGCAGCUGCCUCCCGCUGCAGGCAAGAGAGCGCCUGCCUCGCCGGGCGGAGGACAGCCGAGCGACCGGAGCGACAGCAAAGGAAAGGCGGAGAGCGGGAGAAAGAAGCGUCUGCGCUGGCAAGCUCUCCCGGCAGCGCCGAGAGCCAGAGCUGCGGUGCUGCUGCGCCGAUGCUCCGUACGUUCGCAGUAACGGGUAGAGCGGAAGGCUCCGUGGCCAGGGAAGAGCGGCACGGACGCGUUCCUGCUCGCUCCGUUGCACCGGAAUUUCGACGGCUGGGUUCGGCCGCUAAAUUGAUGGCGCUACCGGAAGAAAUUUCACAAAA